UAGGGAAUCUUCGGCAAUGGACGAAAGUCUGACCGAGCAACGCCGCGUGAGUGAAGAAGGUUUUCGGAUCGUAAAACUCUGUUGUUAGAGAAGAACAAGGACGUUAGUAACUGAACGUCCCCUGACGGUAUCUAACCAGAAAGCCACGGCUAACUACGUGCCAGCAGCCGCGGUAAUACGUAGGUGGCAAGCGUUGUCCGGAUUUAUUGGGCGUAAAGCGAGCGCAGGCGGUUUCUUAAGUCUGAUGUGAAAGCCCCCGGCUCAACCGGGGAGGGUCAUUGGAAACUGGGAGACUUGAGUGCAGAGGAGGAGAGUGGAAUUCCAUGUGUAGCGGUGAAAUGCGUAGAUAUAUGGAGGAACACCAGUGGCAAAGGCGGCUCUCUGGUCUGUAACUGACGCUGAGGCUCGAAAGCGUGGGGAGCAAACAGG
rnacentral:rRNA from 1 species